rnacentral:rRNA from 1 species
CGUGUAGGCGGUAUUGUAAGUCAGAUGUAGAAGGCUACGGCUUAACCGUAGAUUGUCAUUUGAAACUACAGUACUUGAGUGCGAGAGAGGGUAGUGGAAUUCCCAGUGUAGCGGUGAAAUGCGUAGAUAUUGGGAAGAACACCAGUAGCGAAGGCGGCUACCUGGCUCGUAACUGACGCUAAUGCGCGAAAGCGUGGGGAGCGAACA